UACGGAGGGUGCGAGCGUUGUCCGGAAUUACUGGGCGUAAAGGGCGCGUAGGCGGCCAACUAAGUCGAACGUGAAAUCCCCGGGCUCAACCCGGGAACUGCGUCCGAUACUGGUUGGCUUGAAUCCGGGAGAGGGAUGCGGAAUUCCAGGUGUAGCGGUGAAAUGCGUAGAUAUCUGGAGGAACACCGGUGGCGAAGGCGGCAUCCUGGACCGGCAUUGACGCUGAGGCGCGAAAGCCAGGGGAGCAAACGGG
rnacentral:rRNA from 1 species